GACAAUUCGAUCUUCCAUGAGGAGGUCUGGGGAGAGGGGGCGAGGACUCAGGUGUUUGCAUGCAUAGCAGCCUGAGGGAAAUGCGUCGCUAGGACACAGAACCCAGCAGGGACUGGGGAGGCUGAGGGGCAGGGAUGGGUUAUGGGGAGAAGCCUGGGAUCAUCAGUCAUGAUGAGGCCAAGGAAGGACAGGAAGAGUUAGGAAACAGGGGCUGAGAAGCAGGGGCAAAGGGGACAAUCGGUGGGGAAGAGGGCUUUCUAGGCCCCGGGGAACAGGAUCUGAGGGCGGACCUACACGCAGGUCAUUCCCACACACAGAUAGCUGCUUUCUGCCCGCGACUUCAAAUGACAGAGGGAACUCUGGUCUCUCCUCAGAAGGUUAACCCCAUCACGGGAACUCCAGACUCACGCCUUCACCCAGAGCUGACAAUCUUCCAGAGGUGAUACCCCCAUCCCUGCCCGCAGUCCGUGGAAUCCUGGAGAGGGUGCAUCUUCGUCCCCUCUGCCUUCGCCUCUGUGAGCAGCUCCUCCUGCCUUGCCCAGGACCUUCAGUGGAGAGUACUGUGUUUUCAUAUUAAAAAUGCCUUUCCUGGGACUGCAGAGAUGGCUCAGAGGUUGAGAGCACUGGCUGCUCUUCCAGAGGUCCUGAGUUCAAUUCCCAGCAACCACAUAGUGGCUCACAACCGUCUAUGGUGAGAUUUGGUGCCCUCUUCUGGAGUUCAGGUGUACAUGCAG